rnacentral:lncRNA from 1 species
AUGGGUCAUUUCUCUUGUCCUGUUUUCAAGGCGGUGAAGCCCUCCUCUGCGGCCCGUCUUUCGGGAGGCCUGUCGAGCGCAUUUUUCAUUUGGGUCCAGGGUUUUUUCAACACGAGGGUCUCCAUUUGUUUUCUUUCUGAAGUUUCCACUUCGCGGCCAGCAUCACCCCCACUUCGCGGCCUUCUUGACACUUGGCUGGCGAAUCCUUUCAGGGGAUCGUGCCUGAGACGUGCAGAGACGACUCGUCCCAUCUUGGCCUGGAACGUGCCGCGUUUGCUCCAGGAGGCGUUGCAGUCACUGCCGGGUCCUCAGCGCUGUGUGGACCUGUCUUCUCGGGCCCGGCCGCCAGCCAGAGCUGUGGCCGGUCCAGUUUUUCAGGAGCCGCCUGCAGGGUUUGCUGAGCCAGGUCGAGGAACGCAGACGCCCAGCAACUCCGCCGCGGUGCCGCUUCCUGCUCAGAUCAUAAGCUGCUCAGGACUCAGGGACCCCGCACUGAUCUGUGAUCCCUCGCCUGCUCCUCCCUGGGAUGGUUCUCAUUUCCAGCUGCUGCGGCAGCUCUGACCUUUAACCUCUGGCUGGAGCCCAAGGCCACAGCCUCUUCCCGCGCCAGCACCUGUGCUGCUUUGUGCGGGGACAGCGACCUCGGGAAGGGCUGGUCGCCGUGAGCUGGCUGGUCAAUGACCUUCCUCCUGGGAGGGCCUGUGCCCGCUCCUGGUUAUUCUCUGACAAGCUUGCCACUACGAUUAAGAACCUUGGGCCAACAUGAGCCUCUUUCCCUUGGCUGGGAUCAGAACCCACCUGCUUAGCUGCGACAGUCUGGGUGUUUGGUCUACACCCCAGACCACCUGCGUUAGACUUUCUGGGUGUGGAACACAGCGUGGGUAUCCCUGGAAGUGCCUGGCGACUUCUGUGUAACCGAAGUUGCUGGAAGCAUUUAUGAAGCAUCGUAUGUCUCAGCGCUUUUCAUUAACGAUUUUUCAAUCCUCUGGUAGCCUCAUUAUUUUCAUACGGGAACUAAGGGUUAGGAUGUUCCAGAGCUGGGCCUUGACACCGCCAGGGUGACCUCAGACCCUAGGGUUAACGGCUGGCUUCACGGUGCAGCGUGGGGAGGGCGGGGGGACCGGGGGUUUGAGGUCGGAACGGCUGGCGCUCUGUUGUGUGGCCGUAGUGCACUUGGGCAUUUCCCCUGUGGGAGGGUACUUACCAUGCUGUCGAUAUUCUGACUGUUAUAAACCAUUUUGCACAGGAUAUUUUGUACCUCAGCUAAAUCCGUCUCUAAUUGUUUACUUAGAAUAAAUGAUUAGAGGAGGAAUUGGGUUUUAAGUAG